AGGUAGCAAGGUAAAACACAGGCAGUGAUGCCGCUGAUCCAGGGUUAGCAUUAAGGAGCAGCAUCUCUUCUAAACAAACUGGGUCACGUACUGGUGAGAGUGAGGGUGAACUGAUUCCAACUCAGUUUGUGGCAGUGUGAUGUCAACAGAAUGGCAUGUGGUCAGAGGUUGUGGUGAACUGGAUAGCUGUGCUGCAGGCUGCCUGCAGAGCAGAGAUGUAGAGGUAAUAGAAAACACUUGGAAAAGGGCUGUGAACCAGUCAGAGGGAGAGAAAGAGAGGAAGGAGCAGGAGAGGAGACAAGAAAGACUUGUUUUGGACCUGAGUCUGAGCUCCAACCCAGAGCUGUGCGGUCGAGUGCCUGUCAGGACCACAGUACUCUUCAUGACAGACUGGAUGUAGUGGAGAAGCGUGUAGAGGACACAGUCCAGAAGCUGGAGGAUGAGCUGGCUGUGCUCCUGGACGCCAUAGAGGCCCCUGAGUGGAGCCCCCUGCUGGAAACUGCUGGAAAACCUGUGGUGGACAUCCUGGAUGGCCAGGGACUGGGAGAAGGUGGCGACUCCUGAGAGAGGAGAGCAGAGAUCUCUGUUGAGGGGCUAUGCUACUUCACUCUGCCCUGAUGAGAGUGCACCUGGCAAGGACAGACAAUGAAAGAUACUUGAAUGUACAAUCUUUGUCUUUCUGGACUUGAAAGUGUACACAAACUGUAUAAAACAAGCCCUUUGAUGAGUAAACAUAGGCUUAGUAUGUAUUCUGUGCAACAGUUGAUAGAUCACGACACUAAUGCUUACUUGACUGCAUAAUACACUCCUCUAAUCCUCAGACACUCUCAUCCUUUCUUCUUAGACUAAACCAGAAUCCCUACACACAAGGGUAACUGUCUCAGCCUCUCAGGAUGGCUACAGUUCUAAACAAUUGAUACGUUGGUUUUUUAUCUAGUAAUGUAUUCUGUUCUGUGUGGAAUUGUGUCCCUUUCUCGUCCCAUGCCUCUGUUCCACCCCCUGGUGCCAGUUGAGAGCUACACAUGCAGCACCGAACCACAAGGUAGGCCGUGCCCUUUACCACAGAUCAAGAAUCAGGUUACACAACCCCUAUCCUAAACCAUUAGGGAGGCUUGAAAUAACACCCAACCUUGUAUCAGUGGUUAAGGGCAACUAAUAAUCUCAAUGUGAAUGAAUGAUGAAAACCACUAGAGAAGGAAGGAUUUUAUUUAUCAAAGCAGCUAAAGCAACAUGUUUCAAUACACAGAGCAGUUUGAAUAGGUACAGUACAUGGCUUCCACUGAGACCCAGGCUAGUUGCAUUUUUAUUUAUUUUAGUCCCCAUAAAAAUCUUACAGAACAUGUUCAAAAUCAAAACACAAAGAGAAGAGUGGUCAUAGAUUUAGUUCUCAAAAAUGGACACCACAAUACUAAAAUGUUGCUACAAAGAUAAGACAGUAAUAUUAUCUGUGAGAGCUUUAAUCCUUAACCAGUUGAUGGGAAAAGUACUGUGGUAAUUGGUCACUCGUUCUAUCACAAUGCUGUUUGAAACACCCAGGUAAAUAUACUUACAAUUUUAUCCAAUAAACUAGCAUUGUAAACACAAUGUUACAAACAUAUUAAAGAUUUUUUUGGGGGGGGGGGUUUAGGCAAGCAACAUCCAACCAGGAAUGGAGAUGCAUUUGAAAUGAUAUCAAGGGAAUGACAUUAGGCUACAAUAUUGUUGAACUUAGAAAUAAACUACAGAGCAGGGCUUCCAUUAAAAUCAAUGACUAUUCAUUACAAGCAAUCAACACAAUUCCAUGGCCAUUUCUAGCACUGGAGACAUUCAGUCAAGCUUUUUAGUGAGGACAAUGUAAAGACAUGUCGAAGAGCAGUAUUUAAGACUUUUCACAUAGCUAAGGGCAGACUCACACAAUGCCCCAAACCCUUGGCCCGUUCCCAUAUACAGAACAAAGCACAGAAAACCUAAACUUACCCACAUUGGAGCAUUGGAGGGCAUAGAUACUGACUUAUUCAAUCAUCCACUUAAAGAAAAGCCUGUGCACUUGAACAUAUUCUUAAGACAAUCUACGGGAUGCCAAAAGUCACUGCAUACCAUCUAAAAUAUCAUGGCAUCCAUAUAACACUGGGAAUAAAUUAUUUGUACAGUCGUAGGUCUUAAAAUCAGUUUUUAAAAAGCAAACCUAGACAUCACAUAGACAGGCAAGCAGGACAGGGCUACACUGAUUAUAUGAGGCCUCUCCUCUGUCAAUCAUCAGAACACAGGUGAACAUCAAGGAAUUCUACUGCCUGAAGCUUACAUGUGCACAUACUGUAAGCCACACAAACCCUAGCGGUUGGCUCUCCUACAAGAUCUGCUUUAAAACUGUAAAUAGAGGUACAUGCAAAAAGGCAGGGUUCGA
rnacentral:lncRNA from 1 species